GGAGGCGUAGCUCAGUUGGUUAGAGUAUCGCCUUGUCACGGCGAGGGUCGUGGGUUCGAGUCCCAUCGCUUCCGCCA
rnacentral:tRNA from 1 species